rnacentral:rRNA from 1 species
GAUGAACGCUAGCGGGAGGCCUAACACAUGCAAGCCGAGCGGUAUUUGUCUUUCGGGACAGAGAGAGCGGCGUACGGGUGCGGAACACGUGUGCAACCUGCCUUUAUCUGGGGGAUAGCCUUUCGAAAGGAAGAUUAAUACCCCAUAAUAUAAUGAAUGGCAUCAUUUAUUAUUGAAAACUCCGGUGGAUAGAGAUGGGCACGCGCAAGAUUAGAUAGUUGGUGAGGUAACGGCUCACCAAGUCGAUGAUCUUUAGGGGGCCUGAGAGGGUGAUCCCCCACACUGGUACUGAGACACGGACCAGACUCCUACGGGAGGCAGCAGUGAGGAAUAUUGGACAAUGGGUUAGCGCCUGAUCCAGCCAUCCCGCGUGAAGGACGACGGCCCUAUGGGUUGUAAACUUCUUUUGUACAGGGAUAAACCUACUCUCGUGAGAGUAGCUGAAGGUACUGUACGAAUAAGCACCGGCUAACUCCGUGCCAGCCGCCGCGGUAA